rnacentral:rRNA from 1 species
UACAGAGGUCCCAAGCGUUGUUCGGAUUCAUUGGGCGUAAAGGGUGCGUAGGCGGCGCGGUAAGUCGGGUGUGAAAUCUCGGGGCUUAACUCCGAAACUGCAUUCGAUACUGCCGUGCUUGAGGACUGGAGAGGAGACUGGAAUUUACGGUGUAGCGGUGAAAUGCGUAGAUAUCGGGAGGAACACCAGUGGCGAAGGCGGCUUCCUGGCCUGUUCUUGACGCUGAGGCGCGAAAGCUAGGGGAGCAAACGGG